rnacentral:tRNA from 1 species
GUACACAUAGUUUAGCUAAAACACCAGUCUGUGAGCCUGGAAUCAGAGACACAAAUACUCUUGCGUACC